rnacentral:rRNA from 1 species
UCCUACGGGGGGCAGCAGUGGGGAAUAUUGCACAAUGGGGGAAACCCUGAUGCAGCAACGCCGCGUGAGUGAAGAAGUAUUUCGGUAUGUAAAGCUCUAUCAGCAGGGAAGAAAAUGACGGUACCUGAGUAAGAAGCCCCGGCUAACUACGUGCCAGCAGCCGCGGUAAUACGUAGGGGGCAAGCGUUAUCCGGAUUUACUGGGUGUAAAGGGAGCGUAGACGGCAUGGCAAGUCUGGAGUGAAAGCCCGGGGCCCAACCCCGGGACUGCUCUGGAAACUGCCAUGCUAGAGUGCUGGAGAGGUA